rnacentral:misc_RNA from 1 species
GGAAGUAAAAGACGUAACAAGGUCUCCGUUGGUGAACCAGCGGAGGGAUCAUUACAGGACUCGCAAGACUCCUACAACCCUGUGAACUUAACUAUAAGCACGUUGCUUCGGCGGGUGUCUCGGAGGGGGUUCUCCCUCCCCGAGACGCUAAACCCGCCGGCAGCCUACUAUACUCUGUCUCUUUGCGUUGGCAUCUCGAGUACAAUCAAACAAGUUAAAACUUUCAACAACGGAUCUCUUGGUUCUG